rnacentral:lncRNA from 1 species
GCUCGCUCGAGCUCGGCGCGGACCCGCCCGGGAGCGCUCCUCGCAGCAGCUGCCGGGGUCCCACCGCCCUACCGGGCGCGGGCGAUCAGACUACCUCGGAGGGCGCGCUCAGACACCCAGACGUCCGGCCACCUCAGUGGGUACACUCGGCACCCUGUGAUCCGACCACCCGCGGAGGCGCGCUAGCCCUCUGGGUGGGCGUGCUGGGCUUCUCUGCGGCGGAAGUCUGGACCACAGAUUGUGACUUCUUUUCUAGCAGUAGGUGUUGACUGGUCCGACUGCCGCCCUUCUGCCCGAGAGUAGUUCAAACUGAAGGGAAGAAAACAUUUGUGCUGCUUGGUCUGCCAUCUUAAACCAGAAGUCUGAAAUAUGGGUCUGAAUGCUGCUUCCAAGGAUCUCUUACAUUGAGGAUAGCAGGCACCAGAGACUCUCUACCAUAAACAUUUCCACAAGAAACGGUCUCUAAUUGAACCUGGAACUCACUGACUGAGCUAGAGUUGCUGUUGAGAAAGCCCCAGGAACUGUUUGGUCUUCUACCCCUCAAAAUUUGCGAUGCAGUGCCUCCUCAGGCCCAUCAAAGUCUUCCAGGAUCACACAGAAGACCACGCCACAGUCGGAAGUGAGGUAAACAAGUCUCCUCAUUGCUAUAUUUUGUAAUUAUCAGACAAGAACUCUUCAGGCGGAGUUCCCGCCUGAAGACCCUCAGGCCUGUGUGAAGCUUAACCAUGUAUGUACUCAAUGUAGGUGUGAUCGGUUUUCAGAUCCAUGCAAAUGUGAGCUGACCUUCCCCUGAUGUUUGCUGAGUGCAUGCCAACAGCAUUCUGCAUGGCUAACCUGCCUCAGCAACCAAAUCCCUGGAGCUGUCAUAUGCAGAGGGUCUGUGGUGUGGCCAUUUUAUAAAUGAGCCACGGGAAGGCCAGAGAAAGAAACAGCAUGCUCCAAGUCAGAGCAGAAGGCAGCUUCCCUAGGAUCUGUUUUAAUGUUUGCUUCUUUACAACACAGGAUCUCAUGAAACCCAAGCUAGCUUCAGACUCAACUGCAUAGCUGAGGAUACCCUUGAACUUGAUUUUCUAAUAUUUCUACCUCACACCCAGUUCAUGAGGUAAUGCAGAUAGAACCCAGGGCUUCCUGAAUACUAGGAAGGCACUCUACCAACUGAGCUACAUCCCCAGACCCUCCUCUGGGGAUAAGCCCAGGUUCAAAUCCAAGGCCUUAACAACACUGGGACACAGACUUAAGACACAGCACUCUACGGGACCUGGGCAUGCUCCUACCCUGUCUAGUGAUGGCAAAAGCCAUCUUUUUAACAGCCCACGUUAUGAUUCUACCAUCAGAUCAGAGAGGCCGUAGAUAGCCCAGCUUCCCAUUGUAAGUCAUUUUCGACCUGUUUAACCGAUGGCUAUAUGGGACUGCUAGAAAAAGUUUGGAAAUCACCAAGAGCUUUGACUUUCCUGCCCACAAAAACAGUUGGCCUUGGCAGAUGUCCAACGCGUUGACCUUAGAUCCAUUUAAUGAAAACCCUAUUAAUUCAAAAAGAAAGAAAGAAAAUAAGACAAAAUAGGACAGGCAGUAGAAAGAUCUUUACAAAAAUCUUGUGUGCCCUUCCUCCACUGUUGCCUUGACCAGACAGGGCCACAAAGCUAAUACAACAGGAUUAGGACAAUUGCUUUGUUAACACACAAGCACAGCGUGACAUGAACUCCAGAAAAGGCAUUUGGCAGGAUUAACCUGCUGAGGAUAAAGAUGUAGCAGACGGGACCUGAAUUAAUGGACUGGUAUGGCCAAAGUGGAGAAAUCUAUUUGCAUGUAAUAUUAACUGUACUAAUAAACUCCAGGCUGGGAUCCAACAGCCUGGGAGCCUCUUUGAACCAGGACUUGAUUCCUGCACAUCCUAUCUCUGACAUCUGCCAAGAUGUGUGAGUGUAAUCCGGCUGCCUGCAGAUUACCACUCUGUCCUUGGUGCCUGCAAUAGCACAGACCCUUUACUGACUCCAUCUCAAGCAGAUCCCACUUACAAUAUUAUUUACAACCCAUGGAAAAGCAAUGAAGAAAUGCAGGUUCAACACAUGUAGAAAAUAUCCACCAGGGCCUGGAGAAAUGGCUCAGUAAUUAAGAGCCUUGGCUAUUCCUCCAGAGGACCCGGGUUCAAUUUGUAGCAUCCAUGAGGCAGCUAAGAGUCAUCUGAAGCCCAUCUGAAGCCCUCUUCUGACAUCUGCAGGCAUGGUGCAUACAUGGUACAUACAUACACAUGCAAAACACAUAAAAUAAAAAAUAUAAAAUUUAAGAAGAAAAUGCCUACCUGACCCAGGCUGUUGGCCUGACUUGUGUAUUCUGAUUCCUUGAAAGUCUGUGUGGGACUAGGGUGAGCAAGCAGACUCCUGGGAUGUGACAUUUCAGGAGGUACCACAGUCUGGCUCAGUCUCAGAACAAGGUGAGUGCCUAAAGAUUCAUGCAUUGCCCCUCAGACUGCCCUACUGCAGGUUACCAUAGGAACAGUGUAAUCUAUACCCAUUCAAAAUCAAUACACUUACAACAGACAGCUGGAUGUUGGGCGGUGUGGUGGAGGAGAAGAAUGUAGGUGGGUGGGGACCUCUGAGGGGUCCUAUAAAAUACAUCUCAGAUCAUUGCAAUCAAAGAGCAAGAGAGCCUGGUAUUUAUCUACCAGCUCUUUACUGUAUCUGGCUCAGAGAGUAAUUCCCCACCAUGCAGACUAAACAUUCUCCCCAAAGAAGCUAGGGAACCUAGAACAACAGCCUGUGUACAAGAAUGCCUAGGCCAUAUGGAGUGUAAAAAGGUGUGAGUCAGGGUGUGAGUGACACCCACUUAAAGUUCUUGUGUACUUCAACAAAGAACUGGACUAGGAACACUGAAUAAAGAUUG